rnacentral:rRNA from 1 species
GCAUAUCAAUAAGCGGAGGAAAAGAAACCAACAGGGAUUGCCUUAGUAACGGCGAGUGAAGCGGCAAAAGCUCAAAUUUGAAAUCGGCCAUCAGGUCGAGUUGUAAUUUGUAGAUUGUACUUUGAGAGCGGAUUAAAGUCUGUUGGAACACAGCGCCUUAGAGGGUGACAGCCCCGUUAAAAUCUAUUCUCAUUGUAAGGUACUUUCGAAGAGUCGAGUUGUUUGGGAAUGCAGCUCUAAGUGGGAGGUAAAUUCCUCCUAAAGCUAAAUAUUGACGAGAGACCGAUAGCGAACAAGUACUGUGAAGGAAAGAUGAAAAGCACUUUGAAAAGAGAGUGAAAAAGUACGUGAAAUUGUUAAAAGGGAAGGGUAUUGAAUCAGACGUGGUGCUGUUGUUCAACUUUGUUUCGGCAUGGUGUACUCAGCAGUACUAGGCCAAGGUGGGGUGUUUGGUAGUGAAAAAGGAAUAGGAACGUAGCUCUUCGGAGUGUUAUAAUCUAUUUUCAUAGCUCCUCAGGCGCCUCAGGACUGCGCUUCGGCAAGGACUUUGGCAUAAUGAUUCUAUACCGCCCGUCUUGAAACACGGACC